GAUCCAGACUCCUACGGGAGGCAGCAGUCGAGAAUCAUUCACAAUGGGGGAAACCCUGAUGCAGCGACGCCGCGUGAGUGAAGAAGUAUUUCGGUAUGUAAAGCUCUAUCAGCAGGGAAGAAAAUGACGGUACCUGAUUAAGAAGCCCCGGCUAACUACGUGCCAGCAGCCGCGGUAAUACGUAGGGGGCAAGCGUUAUCCGGAUUUACUGGGUGUAAAGGGAGCGUAGACGGCAGCGCAAGUCUGGAGUGAAAGGCGGGGGCCCAACCCCCGGACUGCUUUGGAAACUGUAUAACUGGAGUGCAGGAGAGGUAAGUGGAAUUCCUAGUGUAGCGGUGAAAUGCGUAGAUAUUAGGAGGAACACCAGUGGCGAAGGCGGCUUACUGGACUGUAACUGACGUUGAGGCUCGAAAGCGUGGGGAGCAAACAGGAUUAGAUACCCGAGUAU
rnacentral:rRNA from 1 species